rfam:Soboliphyme baturini genome assembly, scaffold: SBAD_scaffold0000025
AGCUGAUGUUUGUGUUAACACCGAAUUUCAUGAAUUUUCAUGAACGAGUACAUCUCCCAAAACCGAUUGUUUCGGUUUAAUUUUAGAAUGUUAUUAGAAAGUGAUUAAUGUGUGCUGAAAAUUUACUUUUAAGAAAACAGAGUGCCUGGAGCAAGUACUAUGAUUAUUAUUGCAUUGAAAAAUGGAGAAAGACUCGUUUCAAUUUUUUGUUUUCGGAUGUGAGAUAAUGAUUAAAACGGACAAUAUGACAUUCAUACAGCAAUAUGACGUUCAUAUUGUUGUAUUAGAGGUAAAAGUUAUGAAUAACAUAAGACGAACAACUGCGAAUGCAGCUUUCAAGGAAGUUUUCGUUAAUCAGCAACGAAAGUUUGAGGUUCGAAGGCGAUUAAGCACCGCCACAGUUUUAACCGCAUAUAAUUAUAUAUGAUUCGUCGAUAUUAUACUACGAAUGGGCGAAAAAUUUCAGGUAAUCCAAAGUUAUUAGAUU